GACCCUAUAGAAUUUUAUAUUUUUAUUUGAGGAGGUAUUAGUAUUUAAAAUUCCUUUAAGAUAAAAUAUUUAGUUGGGGUGAUUGAAAAAUUUAAUUAACUUUUUUUAUAUAGAUACAUAAAUAAGUGAGUAUAUGAUCCUAAAUUUUAGAUUAUAAGAAAAAAUUACCUUAGGGAUAACAGCGUAAUAUUUUUUAAGAGUUCUAAUCGAAAAAAAUGUUUGCGACCUCGAUGUUGGAUUAAAAUUGAGUUUUGGUGUAGAAGCUAAAUAAUUAGGUCUGUUCGACCUUUAAAAUUUUACAUGAUCUGA
rnacentral:rRNA from 1 species